CGCCGUAAACGUUGGGAACUAGAUGUGGGGACCAUUCCACGGUCUCCGUGUCGCAGCUAACGCAUUAAGUUCCCCGCCUGGGGAGUACGGCCGCAAGGCUAAAACUCAAAGGAAUUGACGGGGGCCCGCACAAGCGGCGGAGCAUGCGGAUUAAUUCGAUGCAACGCGAAGAACCUUACCAAGGCUUGACAUAUACGAGAACGGGCUAGAAAUAGUCAACUCUUUGGACACUCGUAAACAGGUGGUGCAUGGUUGUCGUCAGCUCGUGUCGUGAGAUGUUGGGUUAAGUCCCGCAACGAGCGCAACCCUCGUUCUAUGUUGCCAGCACGUAAUGGUGGGAACUCAUAGGAGACUGCCGGGGUCAACUCGGAGGAAGGUGGGGAUGACGUCAAAUCAUCAUGCCCCUUAUGUCUUGGGCUUCACGCAUGCUACAAUGGCCGGUACAAAGGGCUGCAAUACCGUAAGGUGGAGCGAAUCCCAAAAAGCCGGUCUCAGUUCGGAUUGAGGUCUGCAACUCGACCUCAUGAAGUCGGAGUCGCUAGUAAUCGCAGAUCAGCAACGCUGCGGUGAAUACGUUCCCGGGCCUUGUACACACC
rnacentral:rRNA from 1 species